rnacentral:rRNA from 1 species
CCUACGGGUGGCUGCAGUGGGGAAUAUUGCACAAUGGGGGAAACCCUGAUGCAGCGACGCCGCGUGAGCGAUGAAGUAUUUCGGUAUGUAAAGCUCUAUCAGCAGGGAAGAAAAUGACGGUACCUGACUAAGAAGCCCCGGCUAACUACGUGCCAGCAGCCGCGGUAAUACGUAGGGGGCAAGCGUUAUCCGGAUUUACUGGGUGUAAAGGGAGCGUAGACGGCGGUGCAAGCCAGAUGUGAAAGCCCGGGGCUCAACCCCGGGACUGCAUUUGGAACUGUGCUGCUAGAGUGUCGGAGAGGCAGGCGGAAUUCCUAGUGUAGCGGUGAAAUGCGUAGAUAUCUGGAGGAACAUCAGUGGCGAAGGCGACUAUCUGGCACAUAACUGACGCUGAGGAGCGAAAGCGUGGGUAGCAAACAGGAUUAGAUACCCGGGUAGUC